AAUUAAAAAGAGAAAGAAGAAAAAAAGAAAUCGUUUGAAAAUUUGAAAAACAGUGGCACCGCUUCUUCCCGUGUGGCCGAGAGCCUCCCGGACCCCACUCUGCUCCUCGGGAUUCGUCCUUCCCACCAGAGAGCACCGCCAGAUUCUUCAGAGAACAGAACCAAUAAGAUUUCUACAGGAAGAGAUUUAUUAUAAGU